AUUAUUUUUGAGAGAGAGAGAGAGACCGAGCAUGAGUGGGGAAGGGGCAGAGAGAGACAGAAAGACAUAGAAUCCGAAGCAGCUUCAGGCUCCGAGCUGUCAGCACAAAGCCCAAUGCGGGACUCGAACCCACGAACCGUGAGAUCAUGACCUGUGCUGAAGUCGGACACUCAACCGACUGAGCCACCCAGGUGCCCCAUACUUGCACUUAUAAAGUAGACAAAGAAUGGGGCUCCUGGGUGGCUCAGUCGGUUAAGCGUCUGACUCUUGAUUCCGGCUCAGGUCAUGAUCUUACAGUUGGGUUAGUGAGAUCGAGCCCGGAGUCAGGCUGUGCACUGAUAGAGAGGAGUCUGCUUGGGAUUCAUUCUCUCUCUCUCUCUCUCUCUCUCUCUCACUCAUGUGCGCGUGCACAUGCGCUGCCCCUUCCCCCCUCAAAUAAACAUGAAAAAAAAUUUUACAUAGACAAAGGAUUCGUUUCCUGAAUAUGUGAAUAACUGUUAUUAUAAUAAGUCUAUGAGAAAUGGACACACAUGCCACAAAAAAACAGACACAUUUUAUGGAGGAGUUCAUGAAAAAGGAAACCUGUAUGGCUUAUAAACAUGUGAAAAGGAGCACAUGGUGUUAUUCAAGGAAAUUCAAAACAAAAGGAUACAUUUUCAUUCGUCAAGUUGGCAAAAAGUAUAAAAGGGUUUGGUAAUAAAUAUUGGCAGUGAUGUGUACCCAUGCUGUCAGUGGGAGUAGAAAUUCGUGUGCAGUCCCUUAGGUGUGGUAUCUAUUAAAAAACCAAAAGUGCAGAUUCCAUUGACCCAGAAGUUCCACUUCCCAGAAUCUGUCCCAGGGACACCCUCUCGUGCCUGCAGAAGGAGGCAUUUAUAAGGGAAUCUACUGCAGUGUUAUUUGCAAUAGAAAAGCACUGUAAACAACCUAAUUAAAGUCAUAGCAGAGUAAACAAAGUACAGUGUAUCUGGAUUCUCUACUUAAUUUGAAACAAUGAGGGGCACAUAUAUUAUUUACUGACAUGGGACCAUCUUUGGGACAUCUUGAUGGAAUUGCAGAGGGACUCAAACUGUGAUGUCAUUUGUUUAAAGGCACAAAAUAAUACCUAUAAUGUGUCUAUAUAUGUACAUAUAUAUGAAUAUACACAUUGUAUACACAUAUGUACAUAUGCAAAAAAGAAUAUACACCAAAUUGGUAACUCUGAUUACCUCUAGGGAGGGGACCACAAUUGGGAGGUGAAAGUCCUAAAAUCGUAAAAGCCUGUAAUGUUUUUAAGGAGAAUGUAUUUGUGUUAAGAAUUACUAAUAACUAAUAUCUGUAUAGAAAUGAAAAGAAAUAGGGGUGUCUGGGUGGCUCAGUCAGUUAGGCGUCUGACUCUUGAUCCCAGCUCAGGUCUUGAUCUCAGGGUUGUGAGUUCGGGCCCCAUGCUGGGCAUGAAGCCUGCUUAAAAAAAUUAAUUAAUUUUAAAAAAUUAAAAGAAGCAAGGAAAAAAACUCGUUAGGCAAUCUCCAGUAACAUUUUGGUUAUCCCAUCUAGGGUUAUUUCUUCUAUAUAGGUUUUUUAGUGUUUCUGAUCAUUUUGGUGUGUUUUAUUCUGUUGUUUAUUUUAUUAUUUUAUUUUUAUUUUUUUGAGACAGAGACAGAGCAUGAACAAGGGAGGGUCAGAGAGAGAGGGAGGCACAGAAUCCAAAGCAGGCUCCAGGCUCUGAGCUGUCAGCACAGAGCCCGACACGGGGCUCAAACCCACGAACUGUGAGAUCAUGACCUGAGCCGAAGUCGGACGCUUAACCGACUGAGCCCCCACGCUCCCCAAUUUUGGUUAACAAGCAGGUAACAUCUGCUUGUUAAAAACAACCAACUUUUAAGGUAAGUAAAAAUCCCCUUCUUCCAAGGUCAUUCCUUUGCAUAGCCCGAUAUGCCAUACUCUUUUCUGCAUAUAUCUCAUUAUUUACACAUGCGUUCUAAAGCGCUAUCAUUUGGUAUUUAAAAUAUUCUCAUUCUCUUAAACACGGUUCGGGAGUAUCCUUUUCCUUUGGAAUCAUCACUAUGUUCCAGACACUGCAGGUGUCAUAAGUAUGAUCUCAUAAGUCCUCAAGUUGGAAAGAACUCCCAGCAGAACCCCAUCUGUAGAAUGAGAAGCCAAUGCCCACCUCACAGAGUUUUUGGGGAUCGAGUAAGACAUUGCCUACGGGGUAUGCAGGGCUAGCACAAAGGCAGGGGAGGUGAGGAUGUUCCUGCCUCGUUGGGACACCCAGAGAGGCAGCUUUGCCUGGGCCCCUUUGGAAAACUGCCGCUGCAUAUGGAGGCAAGGAGGGGGUGUCUGAGACUGUGGACUCGCAUCUGUAGCGGGAAGAGAAGUCUGAGGAUGACGGUGUUCGAGGUACCGACCCUUGUCAUCUUUUCUUUGUUGUGUGUGCAUGCGUGUUGGGGGCAGGGCUCUGAUUACUGGUUGCUCGCAGUUUCCCUUACUUUCCUCAGAACUCUUCUGAUUCGUUAGAUUAGCAUAAGUAACUGAAGCUGGCAGGAUAGUUCCUUAAUUGGUUGGAGGUUAAUAUUUUGAACUCCACCAUCAAGGCGGUGGGUCUUGGGUUCUGGAGGCCCGGGCAGCCCCCAUUGCGCACGUUGGACCCACACUAUCGAACUCAUUGCCACCCUCCACCUCUCUCUGUGCCCCGCCAGCAUUUGUGGGAGGGGAGUUUGUGGUAGGAGCCAGAAAGAUCACGAGCUCUCUCCUAUCCUUUCAGUGUUAAAUUCUGUUUAGCGAAAAACAAACAAACAAAAAAACUCAUUUAAUUUCCUAAUCCUUGUCCUUCCUCCUCCCUGUAACCCCCAACUUUGCUCCCAGUGCCAUCAGACUAUGCACUGCCUACCUCCCACCCCCUGUUGCAGACUCCUGCAGGCCCCCGGCCGCCCGCCCCCCAUUCCUUCACCAUAUUAACUCCUGGCUCACCGUCACCUCUCCAGUACCGCUCUGGUCAGGGUUCAGUACAAAGAAGCCUCACAGUACUGCGGGGCUCUCAGGUCACUGACCAGCCUGGCUGCGAUGUGCUGAUCCUGUACUCCGUCUCCGCCUCCUGCUCCCGCAGUCACACCUUAGCCAUGGUCAUCAUCAGCCACACCCCAGUAGGCAACACGGUCUUCAUUACUACACCUCUCGUUUUCCAACCGUGGCCCCCUGCCCUUCCGUCCCUCCCCCUCCAGUGCCCACCCCCUCAGCGGUUCUUCAGCCUCGCCGGGCCUAGAGUUCGUGGCCCCUACCACCUUUUCACUGCCCCUCCCCUCCCCAGAGAUUCUCUGGUCCUCAUCCUCCAUGCCCCUGGGUUUAGUUCCACUCUGUGCCUGGAAUGCCUGCACACGCCUGGAUACAAGCAUGUGGACUGACAAAGCUUUGGUUCAUGAGUGCCGGGCUCCAGUAAGUUCCUAACGCUGCCCAGCAGCCCCGCACAUCCCUGGUUCCUUCGUCCUCCAGUGGACAUUCUCCUUGACCCUCGACCUGACCCCUCCUCUCCUCUUGAGGGCUGCUCCUGUUGUUUCCUGUUUCACUGAGAAAACAGGCCAUCGGUGGGUGGCUUGCUCCUGCUCCCACUACUGUGUCCCCCUGCUUGUAACGGUGGUGAGCCAGCAGCAGUGCCCCUUUCCAAGUCUGUCCUCCGUCUGGGCAUCCUCCCCGGCCCCGCCCCCAAGCACCACCACAGUGCUGUCCUCGCCCCUCCUCUGGGUCAUUCCCACCGGCAUGUGAACAUGCUGGGGUGACUCCCAUCUUCCUGUUAACACAAACCCUUGACAGAGUUCUGCACACCCUCCUUUUUUCCACUUCUCAGCUUCUCUUGAACUCUCUCUGGUUGGGCUUCUGUCCCCCUCGGUCUAGUGACACGGCACCGGGCAGGGUCACCAGUGGUUCCCCUGUUGCCAGAGGAAUAUGCUUCUCCGUGUUUGAGUCCACCUGUCAGGGACAUUUGACACAAAAGCAACGGACACCUUCCUCUUGCAAACCCCUGCUUCUUGUGGCUUCCUCGUGCUCCACUGGCCACUCAACCUCAUUUCCUCCGCCCGCCCUUAUCUCCUCCAAUUCUGGAACGCCCAGUCCCCCUGGCUUCUCUAACUACAUCUACCUCCGUGGUGAGCUCAGGCAUCUCACAGCUUUCAACACCAACUACAUGCUGCGGACUCCUCAUUUUACCCCACAGCGCAGAUCUUCCCCCGAGCCCCACACUCGUACCUCUAACUGGCCACUCUACAUCUCCAUUAAGGUGGCAAAUGAGCUAACAGACAUCUCAGACUUUAACAUGUCAGAGAACAAGCUUCUGAGCUCUCUCCCCUCCCCUGGUCACCCCUCGGUCUUCCCCACCGAAGGAAAGAACCCUCGUCCAUUUGUGUAGACCCAAAACUUUGGAGACAUUUUUCUUUUUCCUCUUCUACCCCACAUCCAGUCCAUCAGCCAGCCCUGUCAAUUCCACCUCCGAAGUAUAUCCAGCCUCCAGCCUCGACUCGCCUUUUUCCCUGCUACUGAUUGGUCCAAGGCAUCACCAUCUCUCCCCUGGAUUACUGCAAGAGCCUUCUAACUGGGACCCCCUGCUCCUACUCCUUGCCCUGCUACGGUGUCCCUCCCCCAGCAGUCAGAGUGAUUGUUCCGGAACCUAAAUCCUGUCAUGCUUUGCUGAGGAAAAAAGCCAAUUUCUUGCUGAGAUUUGUGAGGUCCUAUGUGAUCAGCCCCUAAGCUUAUGUGACUUCAACCAGCAUCUCUCCUCUCUCUGAAUAGCCACUUUGGCCUUGCUUCUCUUCCUGGUGCAUGCCAAACACAUUCAUAGCCCAGGGCCUUUGCACUCACUCUUCCUUUUGCCUACAAUGCCUUUUCUCCUCGUUAUUUUUGUGAGUUGCCCUCGUUUCUGUCAGGUGUCUGCAUAAAUGCUGUUAAAGACUUCCCCGCUCACCCCAUAUAAAAUAGCAAAAGCCUGCCCCCUGCAGUGCUCCCUGCCCCUCUAGCUCUAAAAAAAAAAAAAAAAAAAAAAAAAAAUCUUUUUCUGGUCUGACUCCUGCUGUUAGAAUGCCCCCAGUGUAUAGAACAGUCUGUGGCACUUAGUGGGGCAGCAUAAAUAUUUCUUAAAUGAAUGAAUGACCUUGAGAUUGUAUUUGAGCCUGAAAGCAAAACUUUAUAGAUUCUUGAAGCUCAUUUCAUAGCAAAGGAGACCCGUGUCGAUUGGACAAACUCGAGAAGCUUCUGCACUUGAAGAACAGUCAUCCACAUUUAUACAUGGAUGUAGGCUGUAAUUGGUCAGCAGUCCUGCACGCAUAUGUGUCUUGAAUGGAAUUGAGGAAUUGAACGUGAGAUGAAACAUCUCAUCAAGAGUUAGUUGGUUUUUACUGGCCUGAAGCUGGGUGCUGCGGCACCUGUGGCUUCCCUCUGUCGCCAGGUGUUUUCUGCAGCGGGGUUCUCACGUGAGCUGGAAAAAGCGCCGUGGUGGUUAUUCACAAGAGGCAACAUAGGUGGCCUAGACUGUCAUUUGUUUCUGUUUGAACUGUCCCUGGAAAGCUGUACUCGGUUUCUGCUGGAACUGAACCGUGGAUCCUACAACUGUACAAAUUACAGCAGGAUCUCCCCCCUCCCCGCCCCCCCCCCCCGCCAUCCAUUUACCUUAAAGCAAAGUUGCUUGUUUUACAAGUGACCCAGAAGUGAACUUGUGGUGACAUUUGAAAUGACACAAAUUCAAAACGGACAGUGGUGCACUUUGGCAUGGAUCGGAACUGUUUCUCCCCCAGUGUUUGGUUUUGGCGAGCGUGAGGAAGGAGGAAAGAGGAGGGUUUUUGAAGGCAGACAGCCCUGGGUUAGAAGAAUGCAUAUGUUGUCACUAGUUGGGAGGUGUGACCUCGGGCCAGCCACCCAGUCUGUCUGCGUCUCAGUUUCUUUCCCCGUUAAAUGGGGUAUGAUAGCACUGACUUCACAGAAGGGCUCUGAGGUUUUGGUCAGAUGACCUGGCUCAGUGCCUGGCACACACAUACUCUAUUUUGGGGACAACUGUCACGUUGCUGUUGCACAAAGAAGAUUCAUUGCACAGAGGGAAUGUUUAGGCACAGAAUGAAAGGUUAUCCCACAUCAAACAUUGGGAAGUGGGGCGCCUGGGUGGCUCAGUCAAUUAAGCAUCAGACUCUUGAUUUCAGCUCAAGUCAUGAUCUCAGGCUUGUGAGAUCGAGCCCCACGUAGGGCUUAGCCCUCGGCAUGGAGCCUGCUUAAGAUUUUCUUUCUUUGCCCCUCUCCCACUUGCUCGAGUGUGUGGGUGCUCUCUCUCUCUCUCUCUCUCUCUCUCUCUCUCUCUCUCUCUCAAAAGAGAGAAGCACAUUGAGAAGUAAAGCCAGACCUUUUCCUACAAGUCAGGUAUUUUCCACUGCUUGUGAAUUCUCUCCCUUCCACCUGCACCUGUCAUCUCCCAUAAUACUGCCCAGUACUGCUCCUGGGACCCAGGCAAGGACUCAACUUUUCAUUUUCCACAAAACCUUCCCUCCCAUUCACUUUCCUUGGGUGCCUUGCCCUUGGAUGAAGCUAAUGCUCAGCAUGUUACCUGUCAAAAUGUUACCAGUCAAAUGUUUCCUGUACUUGUCCUCUUUCUUCUGGUUGGAGUUUUUCCCAAUUAGGGUUGAGUUCAUUAACAACAGCAGAGCCAUUUACAUUUCCUUUUUGUAAGAAUAAGGCCAUUCCUUUCUGUAUUCUUUGGCCAUAAAGAACAGGAGCAGGGGAGGCGUGGUAGAAUGAACAGAUGCAGAAGUGGAUUCAGAGGUUGCUCAGACAAAUAUCUUUGGGAAGAACAAUUUUGCAAAGGCAGGCUUUGCAGUGUGAAUAUUCUUGGUACCUGCCGAGACUUCUUCAGUGGUGCUAAUGCCCCGCUAUUAAUCUUUAGAUCUUGUAGAGCAGCUCUUCCUCCACAAAACACCUUUCCUGCUGUUUUAGCAGGUGUUCGUUACACGGACUAGAAAUCCAGGCAGCAGGUCAGGUGGAGGGAAAUCAGCUUUGAACUCACGGUCUGCCACCAGGUGUCAGCAGAGUCUGCCUGGGCCUCGGAGUCUCAAGGGCGAGAGGGCUGGACAUUUGUCAGUGACUGUGCUUUGCUGGGGAGGUUUGUCCACCUGUCAGAUCAGCCUUGGAGUCCUUUAGCUGAAAGUCAAAGCCUUCAGCCUGUAAAUGUUAUGUAUGGAAUGUUGUACUCUUGUUCGAAAGUGAUCAUGGGACUGCUACUGCCUCAAAUUCAGAUUUCUUUCAAAAGUCAGUGCCUGAUUACUUCAAAACCAGUACUAGCUUUAAUCGGUUAGACCUCAAUAAUCUUACUUAUUUCUAAAGUGAAUACCAACAACGCAUUAACGCUUUGGAAAAUUCCCCUGCUUAUUUGUCGAGCAUUACUUUUGAAAGCUAAAGAUUGAAAAUUGGCAAGCAAGUUUUAAUAGAUUCUUUGUUAAAGCUUCCAAGGAUACUGCAUUGUGUGCAACUCCCUUUGUUUAGCUGAGCUUAGAUGCUUAAACAAAUCCCUUUCCAAACCAGUGAUGUUAGAGAAGACAUUGUGCUCGGCGGAGGGGCUUGGAAGCGAUCCUUCUGCAGGUGACAAGGUGAGUUUGCAGCAGAGCCCAGAGGUUCGGAAGCAGGGUGACUGCUGCCUCAGGGACAUGGCAGUUGUUUUGCACGAGGUAGUAUCUCGUCCCUUCUGGAGGCUGGAAGUGCUCACACGCGAUGAGGCGAUACCAUUAACCCUUUGAAUAGUUUACCAAAAGGCUUGUUUAUUUCUAGAUUAUUAAAGAAAUACAGCCGCAAGGUAGCGAACAGAAUAAAGAACCAGCCUGCCACAGUGCAGAACUUCCUCUGCAUGUUCUUUUCAUGAUUCAGCUCGAGUCUGGCCGAUGGAAGAAAACUCUAGGGCGGAGGGCAGGGCCCGAGAUGGCAGGGUCUCUGUAUAGCUCUGGGGACUCUCUUGGGGUCUAACUGUGGUCCUCAGUCCUGUCAGUGCCACUUAGCUCUUUAAUGCACACACCGUAGCUGGUAGACGCUUGCAGGCCAAGAUGCUGAGGAGAGGCUUGGUCACAUGUGACAGUCCUAGGAAGGCCCGCACCAGGCAGGAGCUCAUCAACUCCUUCCCAGCUCUUCCUUUUCCAAACGGUUACAGCCCCUGGCAGAAUGGGGCUCACGUGACCUCAUGAGCAGUCCCUGGUCUCAGGUCUCCCAUGUGUGACAGAAACAUGUUAAGACCCGUGUGCAAAGGUUCUGCUGACUGGCCUUCCUCAAGUCUCCAGACCAAGGGGACAGAGUAGUUUAUUGAGAUAGGAAUUUGUAUGCAAUUCUCUGUAUUCUUUUCUUCCGUCAUUCCAAGGUGGUCAGGCUCUUUGGUGUUUUCACCCAGGGGUGCUUUAAGACUGAAAGCAGAAGAGUUUGAAGGCAGAUUCUUUCAGUCUUUCCUGGAGCCUUAGCUGGUCAGGCAGAUUUUGCCGUAAGUCUUGAGAUGGAGGGGAAGGAGGAGCAGGCCGGGAGGCUGGAAUGAUUCCACAGGGCAAGUUCUACCACUGGAAGUUUUGUGUGUUCUGGGGAGGAAAUUGCUACCCCCAACUGGACAAGCCCUCCCACUGUACUCAAGACUCCAGACCUCCAUUCCUCAUAGGAUAUGCCCGGUUGCUCAGCUUCUCGGGACCACAUGGAUAGCAACAAUAGUUUCCUCUGGGAAAGCCACUGUGAACUGAUGACUAAAAGAGAAUCCUAGAAUACUUCGCCCCAGGACCUUUGCAUAACCUUGCAGUAGAGGAUAAGAAAGGUCAAUUAAUGGCUGAGAUUGAAUUUCAAGCCAGAUGGGGACCUGGAAUCAGACUUAAAAAAGGAAGAAAUAGGAUGUAUACCUGAAACUAAUAUUACAUUCUAUGUUAACUAACUGGAAUUUAAAUAAAAACUAAGGAUGGAAAGGAAAGGAAAGGAAAGGAA